GUAAUGUUAACUUAUGGCUUCCUGCAGGUGUUUGUCAGGCAUCUUUAAUCUAGAGAAAGAAGCACACAGAAGAACUGCGUAUUUACUAGACUGUUAACAAAAGAACAACGCUUUUAAAUGGCUACUUCACCUGUGCCCUGAACUUCCUGUGCUGAGCUUACUGUGAUUGAUUUUACAGGUUAGGUGUUUUUCAAGUAAAAGUCCUGCAUGAAUGAAGCAAGUGGAUCAGCACCAGUGAGUUCAAGCAAUUUCAGUUUCUGAUUUCCUCCAUAUGAAAAGAUGUAUCCACGUACCUUGAAGUUUGUUGCUUGAGG